rnacentral:lncRNA from 1 species
GUUUCUUGAUUAUUAUUAAUAAUAAAAAAUUAUAGCAUGGUGGAUGCAUAUAUAUUGGUAACAUAUAAUGAUUCUUAUCAAACUUUUCAUGGCUUUUAAAGAUCCAAUCUGCAGAAGAGCCUCUGCAUCUGCAGUUUACAAAGAUACAAACAGCAGUGGGGAGUAUGGGCUUUACAAGGCCACAUACGGGCCGGUAACUGACGAAUAUCAGAGCACAGAAUCCAAAGCCUUCCUAAGGUGGGCCGCAAAAGCAUACAUACUGGACAAGGCGUACUGGGCCGAAUCUCACCAUCCGAGCGCGCAUCGACUGGAC